rnacentral:rRNA from 1 species
CAUGCAAGUCGUACGAAAGUUUUUAACUUUAGUGGCGGACGGGUGAGUAACACGUAAGAAUUUACCUUUAGGAGGGGGAUAACAACUGGAAACGGUUGCUAAUACCCCAUAUGCUUUUAAGUGAAAUGGAGUUUUCCGCCUAGAGAGAAGCUUGCGGCUGAUUAGCUUGUUGGGGAGGUAAUGGCUCACCAAGGCGACGAUCAGUAUCUGGUUUGAGAGGACGAUCAGACACACUGGAACUGAGACACGGUCCAGACUCCUACGGGAGGCAGCAGUGGGGAAUUUUCCGCAAUGGGCGAAAGCCUGACGGAGCAAUACCGCGUGAGGGAUGACGGCCUAUGGGUUGUAAACCUCUUUUUUCAGGGAGGAAUCAAUGACGUGUACCUGAAGAAUAAGCAUCGGCUAACUCCGUGCCAGCAGCCGCGGUAAGACGGAGGAUGCAAGUGUUAUCCGGAAUCACUGGGCGUAAAGCGUCUGUAGGUGGUUUAAUAAGUCAACUGUUAAAUCUCGAGGCCCAACCUCGAAAUCGCAGUCGAAACUAUUAGACUAGAGUAUAGUAGGGGUAAAGGGAAUUUCCAGUGGAGCGGUGAAAUGCGUAGA